GACUGGCGGCGUGGUGUCACGACGCUUCGCCUUUGUUUCGCCUCUGGUGUCGCUACUGUUGUCCUCUUGCGCUGAGAAGAGGAGCUGUUCAGUCGCGCCAGCUAAGCGUACGAUCUUUCCAUAUAGGCUGCGCCGCAGACACCGAGACGCGCACACUGGUGCGCACACGACCAUAAAAACGAGGAUAAGAGAAUGUUCUACAAGGUCGUCCUUCAGCGCACGGUGAACGUAAAGCCGGCGGACCUGUGCAACACGCUGAAUCGCAGUCUUCUGACCUUCCUGCGACAGGCGGUCGAGGGAAAGCCGCUGCCGUCGCCAGACAGCGUCGCUAGUAUCGCACUCGACUACGUCACAGCGAGCAAGUCCUCGGCGGUGGUAAUUGCCGUGCUGGAUAUCCUCAAUGCGGAGACACUGCAAGGCAAGGUGCUCGAUGACGGAAGUGUGUCGUUCCGGCUCACCUAUGAGGCGAUGGUGCUGAAACUGCACCGAGGUGAGGUGCUGGACCUGCUGGUCAGCGAUGUGGACGAGACAGGCUUCUGGGCGAGCGUCUAUGGCGUCAAUAAGCUCUUUGUGAACCGCAAUCAAAUGGGCGAGGACCUGAAGACGGGAAGGUCGGAGUGGUCUUUUGAGGCGGAGACAGCCGCGUGGGUCAGCAACGACGAUCGCCGCUCCAUCAAGAAGGAUACGAUGGUGCGCCUUCGCGUGAUUGCGGAAACGCCGCAAUCCGAACGUGGCAUGGCUGUCGGCACCAUCGGUGCCCCGUUUCUGGGUCCACGCGUUGGCAGCUAUUAGACCGUAUUUCCAGGCGGCCGCCGCCUCCGUCGGGGCACACUCUCCUUGCGAGGGGGUCCCAGACAGCACCAGGUACGCAUGAAACAGCAAUGGAAAGGGAGUCUACCCUCUGUGCCGCCAACCUCCACCUGUUUGUGUUGUCGGUUGCCGUCGCGGGUGCGUGUGUGUUUGCGUGAAAAGGUGAGUCCCAUUGCAGAGAGAGACCCACUUAGCACAAACUCCAGAGCUGCAACACC
rnacentral:misc_RNA from 1 species